GCAACAUCUAACCUCACUCUGCUCAUUCUUCUCUGGCUUCAUCACCCCAUUCAAAGUAAGUUCUUUUACAGGAGGAUAGCCAGAGGAGAACAUGAGGCGAGAAACGAUGAAGGUGAAAUUCGAUGAACAGUCCAGCAACGAAAGAACCAGGGAAUGGAGAACUGUGGAAGGACAAGAAUCAACCAGCUGCAGCCAAUCCUGCCUGCCACACCCUGUGCACAUCCUUAACAAGAAAUGGUUGGUGAGAGAUUACAAUGGAGAAAGGAAGGACAUUUGAUUUGUUCCAACUGUCGAUCUGAAAUCUGACAUAGUUGAAAACUUGAGUCAUUGUCUCUGUAAGGGUUUGCACUUCCCAGAAAGAGCAACACAUCAUCAGCACAUAAACAUGUGUUGUGGAUUGUAUUUUCAACAGGACUUGUUGAUGGAACUGAAAGGAGCAGACAAUAUUAAACUUUGAAAGGCAAUAAGUCUCAGUGAGCAGUGACAGCUAAACACACACUACAAAAAGAUGAGCGAUGAGUAUAUCAAAUUAAAAUAUCUCAAGUAUUUGGAAUCAUUUUUAUUUCAUUACAUUGUGCCU